GACCGCGCCACCUGGGUCAUUGGUUCUGAAGGGGUAGUCCCAUCCCUGACCCGCAGUCCGCACAAUGGAUAUCAAUGCCGGCAACCUUCUCCCAACAAACUGACGGAUGCUCUUGUAUUCAGCAACCCAGCUCUUGCUGUCCCAUCUCAACCGUUGGGAACGCACAAUCGUCGCAUUUGACUGCUGAUUGAAUAGCAGCGCAACCAUUCUAAGCUCCUGCCGCUGUUUGUAGCAAGAACGCGGUUGUUUCUCUACGUUCGCUUCGGCAAUCUUUUUACUCUACUAACGCAUUGGUGGAGGUAUUUCAUUCACCUGUAGUGACGGUUUGGAGCGCGACACCUUCGCUUGCG